ACCUCCUUCACUGUGAGACACUCUGCGGCAGCUGUAGGACUUGAACUUCAAUAACUGAAACCAUGCUGAAGGUAUUUCUGCUUGGAUGUCUCCUGAGCCUCACUCUGGCUCAGCCUCUGGACCAGGCACAUGAACGCCUUGCCCGCUCUAACUCAAGAGAGUUUUUCCAGUGGCGGCCCACCUAUAACAGCAAUUUUUUGCUGCAGCUCCUUGCUCUCUUACAAGCAUUUGCUACAACUACUACAACAACUACUACAACAACUGCACCCACUACAACUCGUGCUCCCUAAAACCUGAAAUGAAACCAAAGAUCAACGAGUAAUUUUAAACCAUCAGCACAAUGUUGCGUCAGCUUCUUCUGCUUUCUUGAGAAUGCACAGCUUUAGUUUUUCUCUUUCCCAGAUUGAUUCAUGCUUCUUAAUCAGUGUUUCUGCUCACUGUUGUCUUUAGUAG